rnacentral:rRNA from 1 species
UACGAAAGGGGGGGCGAGCGUUUGUUCGGAAUUACUGGGCGUAAAGGGCUCGUAGGCGCCAACUAAGUCAGACGUGAAAUCCCUCGGCUUAACCGGGGGAACUGCAUCUGAUACUGGAUGGCUUGAGUUCGGGAGAGGGAUGCGGAAUUCCCAGGUGUAGCGGUGAAAUGCGUAGAUAUCUGGGAGGAACACCGGUGGGCGAAGGCGGCAUCCCUGGACCGACACUGACGCUGAGGAGCGAAAGCCAGGGGAGCAAACGG